UUGGAAGAGUACAAUAUAACAAUAAACAGACACAUUCCCUUCCCAUUACAAGCUUACAAUCUAGAUGGUGAUGGUUUUCAGUCACCCAUUUGCACCCGGUUUCAACACCAGAUGCCCAAACGUCUAAUAUUUCUAUUUUCAGAGCGCAACACCUCCUCUCCACCCCCGGCCCUGAGUUCUACUGCCAAAUUCUGCAGUUUGGAGGCGGCGGCUGUGUCCACAGGGACCCUAAGAGGGAGAAUGCAAUGGCAGCAUGGUCUAACGGAUAGGGUGCAGUCCUGGGAGUCAAAAGAACCUAGAUUCAAAUCCUGGCUCUAUCACCUGUCUGCUGUUUGAUCUUGGUAGGAAGACUGUCACGAGCCCACAGUUCGUACCAACCAGGGCCUUCCCAAGACCAGGGGAGCUUCAGUGACACAUAGUAGAGUUCAAACCACACCUCUGAUCACCAAGGUUAAUGUGGAUUACAAUCAGUCUCUCACAAGCCUUUAGCUUGCUGUGGGCUCACCACAAAGACCAAAACAGGUAUCUCACUUCAACUCCUGCCUUUCAUCAUCCGAGCUGCCCAAGAUGACUAUCUCCACCUCCAGUAGAGCAGCUGCUGCUAGCCCAAUCCCAGCUCUCUCUGCCAUGGUUCUAGCAUUGUUCAGUCCUCCAGAUGAGCACGUGUCCGGCUUCUGCAGAAGUCCUGAAGAAUGACCCAUCAGAGAGAAGUGCUCAGCUUGCAGCAGAGCACAUAAUAAAUCAUGGAGGAUGAUGAUGAAAAUGAUGGCAUAUACAACAAUGAUGAAGAUGAUUAUGGCAAAGAUGACAACAUGACGAUGAAGGAGGAAAGUCUGAAAUGUUUUCUCUCAAGCCAGGAGACAUACCAGUGAUGGGAUUAGUAAACUGCAUUCUGAGGCAAGCCUAGUUUAGUGGACUGUGGCUUUCAAAGGUUUUGUCGGGUCAGCCCUUAGCAAUCCCUGUUAAGGUUAACUUGGUCUUUGAAGUUAACCUCGCUUAUGCAAAUUCAAAGCAAAAAUAAUUUUCCUCUAGUAAUCUCUCCAAAAAUGCAGUGAAGACCUAUGCAGACACGGCAAUUUUCUGUAGCGGGAGCCGUUGUUCCAGGGGCAAAUGUUAAACUGCUGCUUAAGUAAGAUCAGGGCAUGCUAUGAAAACACAGCCCCAAUGAAGGCAAAUACAUUUUCCAGGUUAUAUAAAGCCUCACUCUCUUCCUAAUUUCCAGUCUCUCUCCACAAGGUUAGAGCUGUGUCUACCUUGGGGAAGCAGGCUUUCAAAAGAUACCAUUUCUGAAGAAAAAAAAUUGCCUUUAGCCAUCUUCAGAGUAGGGUGAACACAAUGCAUGCAGUCAAGAUUAAUAUUUUUGCAGCCAAACAUGCCCUUAAUCUCACCUCUGAGUCUACCUCAGAAACUCUGCCUCAACAACCACGUUAUAGAGAAAAUAUGAUGCUUUGCCCCAUAACCAGACCUGUCCAUUUUUCCUUUGCCAGCUACUGUCCUUAGGGCAGUUUUCAGCACCCAGGAAGGCUGGCAGAGGGGAGAGGAAGAAAAAAAAGCAUUUAAAGCUCUAUCAGGGAGCACAAGGACAAAAUCUCACAUCCAAAUGCCCCAUCUGCAUGAAAUCAAUUAAGAAUAUUUCAGCCUGGUUUGAAUUCUAAGAAAAGUAGAAGUGACAACCCUUCAUAAGUCUGAUCACCUAUAUGUCCUUAAACCCUGAUCACAUUCUGUGAAAUGCUUGAAAAUGAGGUUAGGUUUAUCCCACACAGUCACUUCCAAAUUCCAAUGAGAGAAUUUUUAAUCAAUGCACUGACCACUAUUUUUUUAUUAUAUUUGUGUCAAACCUUAGUUGGAAGAAACAUGAGAAUUUAAAAUACUAUUAAUGCAACUCUCCCUACAAAUCCAUUUUAUGGUUUUUGGCAUACAUAAUAUCACAUCACAAGGGACAAAUGAGUGUUUUAGUGUUCUUAAAUGUGCUAUAAAAAACAGUGCCAAAAAUUGAA